UUUUUACUCCCUCCGUCCCAAAUUACUUGUCACAGGAAUUGAUGUAUCUAGACGUAGUCUUAGUUCUAGAUACAUCCAUUUUUAUCCAUUUCCGCGACAAGUAAUUCGGAAUGGAGGCAGUAUUAG
rfam:Triticum aestivum genome assembly, contig: Triticum_aestivum_CS42_TGACv1_scaffold_404922_5BL